CCUAUAAGACUGGGAUAACUUCGGGAAACCGGAGCUAAUACCGGAUAAUAUUUUGAACCGCAUGGUUCAAAAGUGAAAGACGGUCUUGCUGUCACUUAUAGAUGGAUCCGCGCUGCAUUAGCUAGUUGGUAAGGUAACGGCUUACCAAGGCAACGAUGCAUAGCCGACCUGAGAGGGUGAUCGGCCACACUGGAACUGAGACACGGUCCAGACUCCUACGGGAGGCAGCAGUAGGGAAUCUUCCGCAAUGGGCGAAAGCCUGACGGAGCAACGCCGCGUGAGUGAUGAAGGUCUUCGGAUCGUAAAACUCUGUUAUUAGGGAAGAACAUAUGUGUAAGUAACUGUGCACAUCUUGACGGUACCUAAUCAGAAAGCCACGGCUAACUACGUGCCAGCAGCCGCGGUAAUACGUAGGUGGCAAGCGUUAUCCGGAAUUAUUGGGCGUAAAGCGCGCGUAGGCGGUUUUUUAAGUCUGAUGUGAAAGCCCACGGCUCAACCGUGGAGGGUCAUUGGAAACUGGAAAACUUGAGUGCAGAAGAGGAAAGUGGAAUUCCAUGUGUAGCGGUGAAAUGCGCAGAGAUAUGGAGGAACACCAGUGGCGAAGGCGACUUUCUGGUCUGUAACUGACGCUGAUGUGCGAAAGCGUGGGGAUCAAACAGGAUUAGAUACCCUGGUAGUCCACGCCGUAAACGAUGAGUGCUAAGUGUUAGGGGGUUUCCGCCCCUUAGUGCUGCAGCUAACGCAUUAAGCACUCCGCCUGGGGAGUACGACCGCAAGGUUGAAACUCAAAGGAAUUGACGGGGACCCGCACAAGCGGUGGAGCAUGUGGUUUAAUUCGAAGCAACGCGAAGAACCUUACCAAAUCUUGACAUCCUUUGACAACUCUAGAGAUAGAGCUUUCCCCUUCGGGGGACAAAGUGACAGGUGGUGCAUGGUUGUCGUCAGCUCGUGUCGUGAGAUGUUGGGUUAAGUCCCGCAACGAGCGCAACCCUUAAGCUUAGUUGCCAUCAUUAAGUUGGGCACUCUAAGUUGACUGCCGGUGACAAACCGGAGGAAGGUGGGGAUGACGUCAAAUCAUCAUGCCCCUUAUGAUUUGGGCUACACACGUGCUACAAUGGACAAUACAAAGGGCAGCGAAACCGCGAGGUCAAGCAAAUCCCAUAAAGUUGUUCUCAGUUCGGAUUGUAGUCUGCAACUCGACUACAUGAAGCUGGAAUCGCUAGUAAUCGUAGAUCAGCAUGCUACGGUGAAUACGUUCCCGGGUCUUGUACACACCGCCCGUCACACCACGAGAGUUUGUAACACCCGAAGCCGGUGGAGUAACCUUUUAGGAGCUAGCCGUCGAAGGUGGGACAAAUGAUUGGGGUGAAGUCGUAACAAGGUAGCCGUAUCGGAAGGUGCGGCUG
rnacentral:rRNA from 1 species